CAACACCAUGAAAGAAAUUCAUAAACAUUAUUCUGAGUAAAAUUUAAAAAACGACACUUACAUAUAAGGUGAAACAUGUUUAUAUUAUUAAAACCCAGAAUAGAGUUUAUCCAUAGACAGUAUGAGAGGAGAUCCUGGGAUAGUGUCUAAUUUCUUCAGCUGUAUCUUAGUUGGAUUGAUAUGUCACAUUUGUAGACAUGUGUCUGGCAUCACAUGCCAUCUAUGAUUAAGCUAUUUUAUCUGUGUCCAUUAUAUUUCAACAAUCAUUUUGUAGUUUUUUUCCCCAUGUGCUAGUUCAUUCAACUUACACAAUAACUCCAGGCAAUAAGAAGGGCGGGAUAACUUUCUCCCAGUUACCAAGAAGUGAACCUGACUCAAAGUUUUGUCCAAAGCCUUUGGGCUGAUUAGUCAUAGAUCAAGAUCAGGUAAAAGAAGGCAGUGCUUUAUAGGCAGAUCGCUCUGAUGCCUAAAAGGUAUUUAAUAAAUACUGUCUAGUGCUAAGUUGUAGAGUUCCUAGUAACAAAAAGGUAGUCAUCUUACCGUGAAAUUUUCUGGGGCAGUGGUGCAUGUGUAUGUGUGUGUGUGAGUGUAUAGUAUCUCUGGCUGGAUCACAUGCAUUCUCUCCUCAGAAGGAAACAGAGAUAUGCUCUGAUUCAAAUGCCCUUGGUGCUGCCAAAAUACCUGUGGAAAAUUGUGCAACUAUGUCCCUCUAGGGCUUAGAAGUGAAUGAGUCACACCCUCAGUUCUCAGACAUAGUGCCCAGGAAAACAGGAAAGCUCACGUCGGCAGAAAUCCAUUAUGUGACCUUGGAUUAAUCAUUGAGCUUCUUUAGGGGCAAUUGUCUGAAAGACCAAUAGUAUGAGAUUCCCUCACUUAGAACCAUAUGUGUGUUCCUCCUGUAGUAUACCUUUGUGAGGUUCCCUAAGGUUUUUUCCCUUCCACACAUGCAACCAUAUUUCAUCAUUUUUAGAGGCAUUGGACUGUAUUCAAACUUUCCAGUUCCCUUCUGGUCACUUAAGAUCAGAUUUUACUUGUUUACAUUUGAAAUUCAGCAUGGCCAGUUCCCUGCCUAUCUUUAGCUAAGAAAGAAGACAAUCAACUGAGUUAUAUAAGUAACCAGAAGUAAUAAAACUUUUCUUGUCAACAUAAAAUUCCAGUUAUUUAUGAUGUGGAAAACAAAAGAGAUAAGAAGUCCCAGAAAUGGAAUCUGUAAUUACUUGGAUAAUAACUCUGAACCUUCUUUGGAAAAAAAUAUGUAGAAUGUAAAAUGUUUUGAUUUAGGGCUCAACUGUAAUGUCAAGGUCAUCCAAUCAUCCAAUGAGCUCAGAAGGAAUCUGAGAAAAAUAAAGAGAUAAAUAGAAGCA
ensembl:lincRNA Gm28183 predicted gene 28183